ensembl:lncRNA
CUGAGAUGACUUUUCUAUGUACAAACAGCUCAGUGAUCUUUGGACUAAAUGUGUGUGGUGUGACAGGAAGGAUUUGAAUAAGAAAGUCUUUUUGGUACUUGAAUACUAAUAUAUGUUUUACAAUUAAAUUUCAUUUUAUACACACUGUGUUGAUUAUGGUACGGAACGUAGUUUUUACCGAUCAAAGCAACAAGAUGAGAACAAAAGAGUUGCACACCUGUUUGUUGUUUUUGUCCUUUUCACAAAUGACCACACAGGGGCACUGUGCUUCACACUGAGGGGAGAAAAGUGCAGGCUUCUCACAUUGCUGAAGAGAAUGCAUUUCAUUCCUCCGUAUGUUUUCAGUGAAGUUCACACACAAUGGAAAAGUUGCUACGGCACAUGUGGGACCCAUUCAAAAAGGCCAGUAGGGUGGUAAUAAAGCUCAGAUGAUUUUUACUACAUUCUCAAGGUGAUACUAAGGUGAUACUGAUGCUCACAAUGUGGAGACUAUGAGGAUGGAGAGCUGCUAGCCUAGUGGAACUACUGUCACAGCU